AACGUAGGGAGCGAGCGUUAUCCGGAUUUACUGGGCGUAAAGCGCGUGCAGGCGGCUCGACAAGUCGGACGUGAAAGCUCCUGGCUCAACUGGGAGAGGUCGUUCGAAACUGGCGAGCUUGAGGAUGAGAGAGGCGAAUGGAAUUCCCGGUGUAGUGGUGAAAUGCGUAGAUAUCGGGAGGAACACCAGUGGCGAAAGCGGUUCGCUGGCUCAUGACUGACGCUCAGACGCGAAAGCUAGGGGAGAGAACGGG
rnacentral:misc_RNA from 1 species